UAUAUAUGUGUGUGUAUAUGUAUAUGUGUAUAUAUAAGAUAGCAGUACUUUUAAACAAAUGGAGGUUUUAAAAAUACAUAGGGAUUAAGGAGAGAAUGCAGGUAACUUGUUUUUCUUUGGUUUUUACCAUAUAUUGGGGCUGAUGUGUACUGUAGUCCUUGCUGCUGCCCAGUAGUGAUGGGAGUGAGCGCAGGACUUAUCUUUCUGCAAGAUAGCAGUACUGUAUAUUAGAAAAGAAAUGACUCAUAGGUUGUACCUGAUAGACCUACUUAAAUCUUUUUACUUUAUUCUUUCUGUUGCAUAGAAGUAUAAGUUUAUUACUCUGUUUUAUUGUAAGUUAUUUCACAUGGGAACUGUGUGCCUGGAAUGAUUGUUGCUUUAAAAAUACUAUAAGCCCACUACACUUAUUAUGAGAGUGGGAUAGUGUAAAUGUGUUUGUACAUUGUUUGCAUGAUGAGCUCAGUAUAUUUUAUAACUGAGACAAAAAGUCACUUCAUUAGUAUUUGAAAGUUAAUUCCCCAUAUGGGAUUAAUUGUAUAGAAACACCAAUCAGCACAUCUUCCCUGCCCUGUGUGUUUGUUGCAAAGGAUCCAUACUAAAUAUGAUUUAUGUUUGAAAAUAACAGAGCAACAUUUACAUUUUCAGCGGUCCAACACAUGCUUCAUUUUGCACUGUAAACUAACCUUUUUAUUGCAACAGGUUCCUUUUAAAUGAUCCAGUGUAAUAACUACUGCUUGUGUCUUCUAUGUCUCACAUUAUGUGUUAUUUUUAAAUUGUGGUAUAUAGCCUGAAUCAGACAUCAUGGACAAAAGGUUUUUACCUGUGUUACUAAGGGCUCUUGGAGACUGACCGGUCUAAAGGUUUGCCAUGCCUUUAAAACAUGGUAUAGUAUAAAUUUUUUAAGUCUCUGAGAGUUCUGAAAGAUUCAGGUGAAACCAUGUCUGUUUAAUCUGGUCCAGAUGUUUGUUCAAUUUCUAUAGGAUUUAAGUUGAUGCAGCAUCAUCUCAGAUUAGUUAAUGGUAGUUUCAUACAAAUAGUUGAGUUAUGAGCGCGCUAUAUAAAUGGAUCCUUUCUUUAAAUACAAUACUAUAGUAGAUUAAAGUAAUGAAGUUAAUUAAGAAAAUGUAUACAUAAGAAUCCCUAAAAUAAAUCUAAACUAAAAUUGGUAUACCUUCCAAUAAUAUGUUCUGAAUACAGCUGUUUAUUCUGUGUAAAUGGUGACUGUGAUAAUGUGUGAUAAGUGUGCAGUUUAACUUG